rnacentral:rRNA from 1 species
GUGAAGCCCAGCUUGCUGGGUGGAUCAGUGGCGAACGGGUGAGUAACACGUGAGCAACCUGCCCCUGACUCUGGGAUAAGCGCUGGAAACGGCGUCUAAUACUGGAUACGAGUAGCGACCGCAUGGUCAGUUACUGGAAAGAUUUAUUGGUUGGGGAUGGGCUCGCGGCCUAUCAGCUUGUUGGUGAGGUAAUGGCUCACCAAGGCGUCGACGGGUAGCCGGCCUGAGAGGGUGACCGGCCACACUGGGACUGAGACACGGCCCAGACUCCUACGGGAGGCAGCAGUGGGGAAUAUUGCACAAUGGGCGCAAGCCUGAUGCAGCAACGCCGCGUGAGGGAUGACGGCCUUCGGGUUGUAAACCUCUUUUAGCAGGGAAGAAGCGAAAGUGACGGUACCUGCAGAAAAAGCGCCGGCUAACUACGUGCCAGCAGCCGCGGUAAUACGUAGGGCGCAAGCGUUAUCCGGAAUUAUUGGGCGUAAAGAGCUCGUAGGCGGUUUGUCGCGUCUGCUGUGAAAUCCGGAGGCUCAACCUCCGGCCUGCAGUGGGUACGGGCAGACUAGAGUGCGGUAGGGGAGAUUGGAAUUCCUGGUGUAGCGGUGGAAUGCGCAGAUAUCAGGAGGAACACCGAUGGCGAAGGCAGAUCUCUGGGCCGUAACUGACGCUGAGGAGCGAAAGGGUGGGGAGCAAACAGGCUUAGAUACCCUGGUAGUCCACCCCGUAAACGUUGGGAACUAGUUGUGGGGUCCAUUCCACGGAUUCCGUGACGCAGCUAACGCAUUAAGUUCCCCGCCUGGGGAGUACGGCCGCAAGGCUAAAACUCAAAGGAAUUGACGGGGACCCGC